rnacentral:rRNA from 1 species
GACGAACGCUGGCGGCGUGCUUAACACAUGCAAGUCGAACGGAAAGGCCUGCUUUCCCUUGUGGAUUGCGGGUACUCGAGUGGCGAACGGGUGAGUAACACGUGAGUGAUCUGCCCCCAACUUGGGUAUAAGCCUGGGAAACUGGGUCUAAUUCCCGAUAGGACUGCAGGGUGGUGCCUGUGGUGGAACACGAUUUUCUAGUGGUUGGGGAUGAGCUCGCGGCCUAUCAGCUUGUUGGUGGGGUAAUGGCCUACCAAGGCGGCGACGGGUAGCCGGCCUGAGAGGGUGGACGGCCACAGUGGGACUGAGAUACGGCCCAGACUCCUACGGGAGGCAGCAGUGGGGAAUAUUGCACAAUGGGCGGAAGCCUGAUGCAGCGACGCCGCGGGGGGGAUGACGGCCUUCGGGUUGUAAACUCCUUUCGACCGCGAGGAAGCCACCUGGUUGGAAGGGUGGUGACGGUAGUGGUAGAAGAAGCACCGGCUAACUACGUG